CCCAGCCAGGACAACAUCUCCUCCUGUCCCUACUGUGCCAGCCCCCUGUGCUCUCCUCCUGUCCCAUGUGGGUAAUGACCACUGGCACAGGGCUCAUUGAGGGAGGAAGAACUUCCACCGGGCUGGGGGACUGCCCUGCUUCCUUUUUUUCCCCCGCCAUUGUACUUCUCUGUCUUAUGCUAGCCCCCACCCGUCUCCUCCUUGUCUCUGUGACUCUCUUGGUGGUUUGGCUUCAACAAGGCUGGGGCCUGCAGCCAGCACAAUGAGGUCCAAAGGCCCAGGUCUCCUUCUGUCAUAGUGAGGUUGUCUGCUCUAAAGUUCCCCAGACCACUGUCAGUCUGUGUGUGAAGUGUCUCCCAGUCUGCAACAACGUGAAAAAAAUAAGGACAAUGCAGGGAUUUUUCCCUUAAAGCUAACUGUAUGUGAUUAAAGACCUGCCUUAUAUUCUAAACAUUGUUCUUCCUUUCUGAUGUGUGUGUGUGUGUGUGUGUGUGUGUGUGUGUGUGUGUGUGUGAGAGAGAGAGAGAGAGAGAGAGAGAGAGAGACAGAGAGAGAGAGAGAGAGAGACAGACAGAGAGACAGAGAGAGAGAGAAAUUAUACUGUCUUGAACAAUUGGGGUAGUUUUUCUCCCUAAUAACUUUUGUAAUAUUGGCCACCCUUUGUAGACACCCCCUCAUACUUUUUUGGGUGGUGGAGGUGGAUUUUACUCGACUAUGAAAUCUGGUCUGAAAACUGCAGCCUCGUCCAAGGAGAGGCCCAUCAGGACUCGAUAUGCUCCCUGGGAUUGCAGAGGGAGGGGGUGGUCUGGAAGAUGCAAUCUGGUAUCCCAGUGAGGCCACUGAGGCACAGGAUUGGGGCAUGGGUCACUUUUAUUAGUAGUUUAAAUUUCCCACAGCUCAGUUUAUUUUAAAAGCAGCAUUGUUUGGGAUUAUGGAUUUGGGAGACUCUGUUAAUGAGUGCCUGCCUUGCCAGUUUUUAGCAUGGUUCUGGCAAGUGACUUAGCCCCUCAGUGUCUCAGUUUCUUUGUCUGUUUAAUCAGAACCGUGGUGUCCUUCUCCUAGGGCUGUUGUGAGAAUGACAGUUCACGACAUUGUUUAGCUGCAAGGAGCUAUCAAAUGUUGUCCUUUAUUGGAGUCAUUUCUGACAACGUUCAGCUAGUGCUUCUCAGGGCUUCUACUAGUCUGCGGACAUUCAGGGUUUGAAGGGUGGUGGGGGACUCAGGGAAGCAUCAGAGAUGAUGAGUGGGCGAUCAGAGAUGAUGGGACUCAGGGAAGCGAUCAGAGAUGAUCACAGGGCAUGUGGGGCCAGGCGAGUCUUCUUUGAGUGGACUGUCCCAUGCAUUGUAGCUGUUAAGCAUCCCUGGGUCCCUGCCCAGUAAAUGCAGGCAUCACUCCCCAGUUUUUGUAGCUUACCUCUAUGAGUUCCGCAUUCCCCUUGGGCUGGUUCUGUUUUAGGGCAGAGCCACUAGUUGGGCGCUCUGGAGUGGUCUGAGGCAGUUAAGUCGAUGCAGUGUGGAAGAGAAGAGUCUUUAGAGAAUGGCCCAGGGGGCUGAUACUCCUAAACUGUGCCUGUUAAUGCUUGGUAUUCUGGUUUUCUUGGUGUUGGACAGAGAAAGAGCUUGGUGUCACAGAGGGAGCACAACACAGAGAGGCAGGAGAUCUGUACUCAGGCUCCAACCUCGCUAUUGCCUAGUUGGGGGACCUUGAGAAAAUUUCUUCCCUUUGUGGGUCUCAUCUGUAAAAUGAAGGCUAUGGAGAAAACAGUCUUCUAUGGCUCCAGGCUUUAUGGCUUCAGGCUCUGAAGGGAAAUGGCUUAGAUUUGAGUGAGGCCAAAGGAAGCACUUUCUACCUGUCAUGCUCUGAAGAGGGGGAGUAGGCCUGACUGCUUACCUCUGUCUGGAUUGGAAAAGAUGAAAUCUGAUAGGGAGGCCGGGCCUGGAAGGACUGACCUACUGAAGUAGCUGCCUAGACCAGUUCUCGUUUUAAAAAUUGUUUGUUUAAAUUUAGCUCAUUUUUUGAAUAUGUAAUACAGACACAUAUAAAGCAGUCUAAAUAUAAUGGGAAGUGUUCCCUCGCAUCCACCCAGCUCCCCUGCCCCAAAGGCCACUUCAGUUUAUCCUCCCAGGGAUAUUUCACUCUCAGUUUCUGUGACCCGAGACUGAGAUGAUAGUUUUAAACAUGCCGUGGUUGUUAUGCCUUUAGCUUUCUGGUUCUGAAGGGUGAGAAAUUUGAUCCUCCUGUAGCAUGUGGUUAGUUUCCUACAAUGAAUUUUCCCCUAUUAGUCAUAGUUUCUUUUUGCCACUCUUGGGUAGAGAUACAGCCUUUUUCAUCUCUCUCCAUUUUCCCCCACUCUCAAGUGCCCUGUCCUUCAUUUGAAUCAGGGAAUUCCUCAAACACAGAUCAAACUCGAGACAGGACAUCUGGAUGCCUUGCCUCUUCUCCCAUCCAUGGGUUUCAGAGGGAAACAUUUUACGUAAUUGUCUAUUUUGAUGAUUUCCAAAAUGGUGCCAAAGCCUUAUAUUCUUUUUUGUCUUGGAGCUUAACCCAAUCCUGCAAGUAACUGCUUUGUUUCUCAUCUGGUGUUGUAAAGUGUAUGCCCAGAGAGUGGGAAGCACUGUUGGAGGUUAACUGUGUAGUAGGAGAACUCCAGACUCAGAAGGGGAAAACCUGGGUUUGAGUGCAAAAUAAGUCUCUUUCUUGCUGUGUGAUCUUUGGCAAACUGCUUGGCCUCUCUGAACCUGUUUCCUCAUCUGUAAAAUGAGGGUUGCGCUACCUGCCCUUUACAGCUGUUUUUAAGGUUAUGUAGGGCAAUGAAUGUGAGUAUACUUCGCAAACUGUUAAGAGCCUUACAAUUGUAAUUCUUUAAAAAAGUAUAUAUUAAGUGUCUGUUGUGUUCUUGACACUAGAAAUAGUGUGGGAAAUGAGCUUAUAUUCUGCUGUGUGUGUGGUGGGUAGUGUAAGGGCAUAAGGGAAAGCAGGGAGACUGGCAGUAAAAAAGUUGAUAAUCAGACAAAUUUAGAUAAUGGUAAUUAUUACAAAGAAAAUAAAACAGUAAUGGAAUAGAGAUGGAGGGAAGGGGAUUGAAGUUCUUGUUAAAAGAGCAGGAAAAGCCUCUCUAAGUUUACACCUAGAUGUCAUGUGAAAAGCUGGUAAGCUGACUCCAGGCCUAGGAAACAGCAAGUGCAAAGGCCCUGGGGCAGGAACAACAGCUUUGGAGAAUUAAAAAAAAAAGAAAGAAAGAAAAAGGGAGAAUGAACUGUAAUAAAGUGGAUAUAGCAGAAACAAAGUGAGCAUGAUAGAGAAUGUCACAAGAAGUGGGGGAGAGGGUGGCCAGAAUAGGGUCAUAAAGGGCCUUGUGGACCAUGUUAAGAACUUGUAUUUUAUACUAUGUGCAAUGAGAGAUUGUAAGCAGGGAGAUGACAUGCUCAAUUUUCUCCUUUUGAAAGACCUUUCCUCCUGGAAUGUGGAGAAGAGAUUGUUGGUAGGCAAGGCAAGGCACUGAGGCGAGUUAGGAGCUAUUGUAGCAGCCUAGGCACGCGAUGAUGCCUGCAUACCGGAAAAAGCACAGCUAAAAUCAUCCUUGAGGUAUUUGGCUAUGAAGCUCAUGUAACAGUUUUCAUAUGAAAAGGGUAGUCUCCUGGUGUGAAGUAGGAUGUUCCCUCUUUUCCUUUUGCCCAUCUGCUUUGCUCUCUCUUAGGAGUAUGGAAGGCGUUGAAGUGGGCAGGGGUUCCUUUUCAGAUGGUCCAGGGGUUGGGACUACAUGGUCCUAUAAGUAAUCAGCAAAUACUUACUGAUUAUAGGAAGAUUUUUUGAGGCCUUUGGUUUUCACUUCAGGUCAGCCUUUACUGGGGACAAACAAGAAGCCUGGCAAGGCAGAGUCUACAUGAUUUGUACCGUCGAUGGGCACAAGGAGCAGCAGUGAUCACCAACACAGGGCCACCCAGAUGGCAGUGCAGGCUGUCCCCUACACAAGGGUACCUGGCUGAGAGGUGGGUCUGCAACCCAGUCCACACUCUGCUCACCAAGCAAUUUGCCCUGGUGUGGAGCUAUUAUCAGCAGGGAGAAAGUGCUGGCAGCAGGGCACCAUCUGGUUUAGCAGUAGCCCUUCCCAAACUCUUAGGGUUUCUGCUUGGUGGCCUGUUUUCCAGAGUCUGUCUUCACCUUCUGUAUUUGAGUCAGUCAGCAUUUCCCUGAACAAACAUUUAUUGACCACCUACUGUGUACCAGUUACCGGGUUUCCAUUAAUGGGCAGACAGACACACUUCCUGCCCUCACGAAGCUUAUAGUCUACUGGAGUUCACUCCAUCUUUCUUUCUUUGUAAUAGCUGGAGAGCUUCCUUUUGGGGAAGCCUGGGCUGAUCUCAGUUCCUCCCAGUAACUCUGAGUCAUGAGAUGUUGGCACCUGACUUGGAGGCACCUCUUGGAGCUGGGCAACAAUGACCACCAGCCACCAUACACAGGCAUCUCAGUCCAGAUUUUCAGGGGGAUGGGACCAGCGUGGCAAUGGACUGUUAUUAGUACGGCCCCUUCAUUCACCUCUGAUUAAGAGAAGCAAAA